CGUUGCGGAUUCUUGCUCGGGAGACGAAAGAAUUGCGCAACCGGGUCAUCCCGUAUGUGAAAGUGCAGUGGAGUAAUCAUGAUGAGCGGGAGGCGACUUGGGAGUCUGAGACGGUGAUGAGGGAAGCCUAUCCCUACUUGUUUGAUGCUUGAGUAGAGGGAAGAGAGAGAGAGGAGUUUAUCUCCUCUCUUCUCUCCUUUUCUCUUUCGUUCGGCCGUACCAAGGAAGCACGCGAGGGACGCCGCCGCGGAGCCGAUUUCGCCGUCGACGUCGCACCGCAGAGCCGUUCGAACCUACGGUUGCUGCCGUUGCAUCGUGAGGAGGCCGGGCGAGCGUGGAUCUUCGCCGUUCUUGACGUCGCGCCAGUGCUAGUCGCCGUCGAGAUUUCCAGCGUCGACCGUUGGCGUUUCGGCUCGUACUCGACGUAGGAGCGUCGGAUUUCGACGAGGCUUGAUUCGCUGGAUUCAGGACUUCGAGAGGAAUCCACGAAGCCCUUACUUGCCAGAUUUCGUUGAGAGCGUGGUGUUAGCUCGACUCCCGGAUUUGGAGGGUGUAGAUCGACCAGCAGGUGGUGCUGCAGCUGUGAGGGUGUUUUGCUGCCAGAAUUAGCGACUAAGAGCCACAGGUUUCGGCUGCUGCACC